GCUAUAUUCUCACGGCAUAUCACAUGAACGUCUCAGGAAGAGGGCAGAGGUGUGGGCAAUCUUACUGCAAAUUUUGUUACAAUUUCUGGGAAAUAUUUUUUUCUACCAUUGUUUCCUAGUGUUACUACCUCCAAUUGAAAUCCAGACUUAUUUUACGUGUGGUAAUCGUGGUUCCGCUAAUAUAUUUUCUAAUAAUAAUACCUAAAUAUGUGUGUGUGUGUGUGUGUGUGUGUGUGUGUGUGUGUGUGGCAAAAUGUAAUGCAAUUUUAGAAAACUAUAAAAAAUAUGUAAUAAACCUAAAAAUACUGAUCUUCCCACAUACAUUUAAAUUCAAUGCUGUUGUUUAUGUUUGUUUUGAUAAUGAGUAUAGAUGUGGUUUCAUCACUUAUGCUAACCUUGUAAAGUGCGAAGUGGACACAUUAGGAAUAUUAAGUUACUUUUCUGUACAAUAAACAAAUCAACAUCCACAUGUGAACAAUGCUCUAAAUGUAAAUAACUUUAAUGUAAGCAUUACCUGAUGAUAUAUUUUGUUUUCAUUUGGCAGUAACAGUCUUACUGCCCACCUUCUUUUUUUUUAUUGCUUGGGUGGAUGGACGAGCUUGCAGCCCACCUGGUGUUAAGUGGUUACUGAAGCCCAUAGACAUCUACGACGUAAAUGCGCCCCCAACCUUGAUAUAUCAGUUCUAUGGUCUCAGUAUAGUUACAAUGGCUGCCCCACCCUUCAAACCGAAAUGCAUUACUGCUUAACGGCAAAAAUAGGGACCACCACCUCGUGGUAAGUGGUUACCGGGGCACACAGAUAACUCAAAUGCAGCAGCACAUCUCAAAAAGUCCUGGUGUAAUCUCUACCGUUUUUUAAUGAUCCCCGUCUCAGAUUCAAAGCUAGAUCACAUGAGUGGUCUGCAGCAGAACUCAGGCAAAACAGGAAAAUCUAUUUAGGCAUCAGUAAAACUGUACAAUAGCUUUAUUCACUAGGAAAUCAAUAUGAAAACCUGGGAAUCAAAUGAGUUUUUGUACUAUUCGGUUGAAUUUGUAAUUAGUGAUUACUAGAUAGUGUAGAAAUAUGAAUCUCAAUUAUAACAAUUACGUGCCAUUGGAUAUUCUUGUCAAAUUGUCUACUUAAAAAAAUGAAUGAUUACCUUCUAGAAGAAAAAUAUAGAACUUAUAAGAAGUUUUCAUACAAAAUUCUGUUUUUUUUUUUUUUCAGGAGAAACAAAUAUACAAUAACCAGCCAAAUUAUUUAUAUUUUCGUGGCAAUAAUCAGUAUGUGACUAGGUAAAUAUUUAAGAACAUUUUUAUCAAAAACCACAUUGAAAGGUCAAUGAACUUUUUUCUGAAUUAAACAUUUGAAAUAAUUUAAAUUAAUUUUAACAACAUCACCACAACUCUACAAAUAAUAUUGACGUACUUAGAGCUUUUAAUAUAAUUUGCAUGAAGUCAUAAAACCCCCCGGCAUUCGAAGGGGCGGACAGUACGAACGCCCGCAUCAAAGAAGAAAAGCGAAGAAAUAGUUGAAAGGCACGCCGAAGUAAAUCCUUGCACAACCACACAACGAAAUAAUUUACGAGAAGAAAUCACAAGAAACUAUCUGUUCACUAAAAUGUUUUUUUUAUGCCAAAAAAAUAUAGCAUUAAUGAAUUAUGUAAUAAAGCGCAAAGAAACGCUAGAGAAAAAGGGAAAUGGUAUCAUUUCCUAGACGAAGACACUCGCGCACGACCACAACACCAGCUCCCACAAAAAUCUAUUCAAAACUGAAAUGAAAUAUUGUACAAAAAUGUCAAAUGGUGAUGAGGGCGCUAGGUUCGCGCUCGCAACAUUGUCGGAUUCGUUGGUUGUAUACCCAACUUCAAUGUUGUUGAUCGAAGAUACCAAAGGUGCGAAAAUAAUAACACAAACACUUUAAUAAUACAAUGCAUGCUCUGCAUACAAGCCACCUAAAAUUUUAUCUAUUAAAGAAACUUUAGUUUGAUUUGUGUAUAAU